rnacentral:rRNA from 1 species
UACGUAGGGGCCAAGCGUUGUCCGGAUUUAUUGGGCGUAAAGAGCUCGUAGGCGGUUCGUCGCGUCGGCUGUGAAAUCCCGAGGCUCAACCUCGGGUCUGCAGUCGAUACGGGCGGACUGGAGUUCGGCAGGGGAGACUGGAAUUCCUGGUGUAGCGGUGAAAUGCGCAGAUAUCAGGAGGAACACCGGUGGCGAAGGCGGGUCUCUGGGCCGAUACUGACGCUGAGGAGCGAAAGCGUGGGGAGCGAACAGG